UGCGUAGGUUGUUUUGUAAGUUGACUGUGAAAGUCCUGGGCUCAACCUAGGGAUGUCAGUUAAGACUGUAAGACUUGAGUAUGGGAGAGGGUAGUGGAAUUUCCGGUGUAGCGGUGAAAUGCGUAGAUAUCGGAAGGAACACCGGUGGCGAAGGCGUCUACCUGGCCUGAUACUGACACUGAAGCACGAAAGCGUGGGGAGCAAACA
rnacentral:rRNA from 1 species